rnacentral:rRNA from 1 species
UAGGGAAUCUUCCGCAAUGGACGCAAGUCUGACGGAGCAACGCUGCGUGAGUGAAGAAGGGUUUCGGCUCGUAAAACUCUGUUGUUAAGGAAGAAUGACCGGCAGAGUAACUGCUGCCUGUGUGACGGUACUUAACCAGAAAGCCACGGCUAACUACGUGCCAGCAGCCGCGGUAAUACGUAGGUGGCAAGCGUUAUCCGGAAUUAUUGGGCGUAAAGCGCGCGUAGGCGGUUUUUUAAGUCUGAUGUGAAAGCCCCCGGCUCAACCGGGGAGGGUCAUUGGAAACAGGGGAAGUUGAGUGCAGAAGAGGAGAGUGGAAUUCCAGGUGUAGCGGUGAGAUGCGCAGAGAGAUGGAGGAACACCAGUGGCGAAGGCGGCUCGCUGGUCUGUAACUGACGCUGAUGUGCGGAAGCGUGGGGAUAAAACAGG